GGUGAGAGUCACUCGUGUGUGAUGGGGACAUGCAUAUUCAUAUCAUCCAUCAUCAAUUUCAUCAUGCUGCUCCUACUACCCUACUUCAUAUUCUUUAAUUGAUACUAUAUUACUAGUAUGUGGUUAAUUACUCAUAUAUUAGUAGUAUAGCUUAAAGCUGCCCGUGAUCUCCAGCUAGCCGAUCGAUCAGCAGACUGCCACGAGCCUAUGUAAUUUAUGGCAAUCUAGGAGUAGACGUCAGUACACUUUGGAUCACCUACUACUACAUGACAAUGCAAGCUCGGUGACCCGUGAGUGCUGCCAACACUGGCCCACUGCAGCUAGCUAGCAAACGAAGAAAAUGUUCAGACACAACAAACAAGCGACCACAUUACGUGUACAGCCUCCGAAGCUUAAUUAGCACACGGGCUGAACAGCUCCAAAUGCCUGAGUGUUGGCCACCAUCCAAAGAAGAAUUAGAGGAAUCUUUGGAAUUGACAGGGAUCGAUGCUGCAUCACGGAUUUUGCCAAAAGUCUCUUUCAGAGUCUAGUGUCAAUGCAAGUGUGCUGCUAGUUUCCUCCUAAGCUAGUAGUGUCACCGGCCACUAGAUGGAAUAAUAUCCUUGUGUGCUUGGAGGGCAAAAGAGUUUCAGAUUCAGAGACCCUUCUUUUCAGCACAACAACAGUGGAGAGGACAAAGAUGAAACUGAAACGAUGUGCCUGCCACGAAGUUGUUGAUUAAGUCCGCAUCAUUAAGACUACUUGAGGUCAUCAGGUGAAUAGUUAAUUGGAUUUGUAAUUGGAUAUUGGUUGGGCGAUUGAGGCUUAAUUAUGGUCCUGGAUGAUCUGGUCCGAAUAACAUAGUGUCAAACCCAAGAUGCCGAAUCAAUGAUCGAUAUGUGUUAACGCAUAGCUGUGGACAGAUAUCAUAUGGAUAUGGGAUUGUUCUGGAAUCAAUACGAGAUUAUAUAUAAAGAAAGUAUUAUCUAACC